rnacentral:lncRNA from 1 species
AAUUGAUAAGGGACUUUCUUCCCUUAAUUUAUUGGCUUCAGCCUCCCCAGUCUGCCCUGGACUCGACCCCUGCAGCUGGAGCCCAGAGCCCCCUUCUCCAUCUACCUCCCGACCUCUCGGAGAGGGGUGGGGGUGGGGGCGGUCACCAGGGCGGGCCAACUGAGGCUCCAAGUGGGAAGGCACACAGGGACGAGGGCAAGGUCGAGUUCCCGCGGAGGAUCCGGUAGGGGAAAGGCGAGCUCACCCCACGUGGCUUUCAAGCCCAGGCGCCCCUCCCGCCGGGCCACAAAGGGAGCCCUCAGCCAGGAGCGCCGGGCGCACAGGAGAGCCGGCGCACUUUGGCUCUUUCCACCAUCCGUUUGAGAGCAUUCAGUUUCCUCGACCCACAGAUGGUAAGUGUCCCCUGGCAACCAAAAGCUUGCAAACUGCUCCCAACUCCCCUCUUCAGUGUUCCCAGCGUCACUGAGGUCUUUUCAGUGAGG